rnacentral:rRNA from 1 species
GCAGGCUGCAACCCGCCUGCGUGAAGUUGGAAUCGCUAGUAAUCGCGGAUCAGCAUGCCGCGGUGAAUACGUUCCCGGGCCUUGUACACACCGCCCGUCACACCAUGAGAGUCGGGAACACCCGAAGUCCGUAGCCUAACAGCAAUGGGGGCGCGGCCGAAGGUGGGUUCGAUAAUUGGGGUGAAGUCGUAACAAGGUAAC